rnacentral:lncRNA from 1 species
GGGGAUCUAUUUACGUCGGGUUUAGGGUCUAUUUCGGGUCUGGGUUUAAAUUUUGGGUGUUUUGAAAUUGGGCCUCUGUAACUUGGGUUUGUAACUAUGGACUGAUGGACUUUUAAUAAUUUUUGUUUUUAUUUUUAUUUUUUUAUAUAUUUUUGUUUAUUAAUUUCUGAUUUGGGCCGGGAAAAUUUGGGUUAUUACAAUGAACACACAGAUUUUACGUAGAAAUUCUUUUGGGAAAAACCACGGAUAAAGGAGAAGAAAAUUCACUAACACUGAAAUUCGAAU